UGGGGAAUAUUGGACAAUGGGGACAACCCUGAUCCAGCCAUGCCGCGUGUGUGAAGAAGGCCUUUUGGUUGUAAAGCACUUUAAGCAGUGAAGAAGACUCCAUGGUUAAUACCCAUGGACGAUGACAUUAGCUGCAGAAUAAGCACCGGCUAACUCUGUGCCAGCAGCCGCGGUAAUACAGAGGGUGCAAGCGUUAAUCGGAAUUACUGGGCGUAAAGCGAGCGUAGGUGGCUUGAUAAGUCAGAUGUGAAAGCCCCGGGCUUAACCUGGGAACGGCAUCUGAUACUGUUAGGCUAGAGUAGGUGAGAGGAAGGUAGAAUUCCAGGUGUAGCGGUGAAAUGCGUAGAGAUCUGGAGGAAUACCGAUGGCGAAGGCAGCCUUCUGGCAUCAUACUGACACUGAGGUUCGAAAGCGUGGGUAGCAAACA
rnacentral:rRNA from 1 species